rnacentral:rRNA from 1 species
CAGCAGCCGCGGUAAUACAGAGGGUGCGAGCGUUAAUCGGAUUUACUGGGCGUAAAGCGUGCGUAGGCGGCUUCUUAAGUCGGAUGUGAAAUCCCUGAGCUUAACUUAGGAAUUGCAUUCGAUACUGGGAAGCUAGAGUAUGGGAGAGGAUGGUAGAAUUCCAGGUGUAGCGGUGAAAUGCGUAGAGAUCUGGAGGAAUACCGAUGGCGAAGGCAGCCAUCUGGCCUAAUACUGACGCUGAGGUACGAAAGCAUGGGGAGCAAACAGGAUUAGAUACCCGGGUAGUCCCUGUCUCUUAUAC